AACGUAGGAGACAAACGUUAUCCGGAGUUACUGGGCGUAAAGGGCGUGUAGGUGGUUUUGUAAGUCUGGCGUGAAAUUUCUCGGCUUAACCGAGGCAGGUCGUCGGAUACUAUAAGACUAGAGGACGGUAGAGGCGUGUGGAAUUCCGGGUGUAGUGGUGAAAUGCGUAGAGAUCCGGAGGAACACCAGUGGCGAAGGCGACACGCUGGGCCGUACCUGACACUGAUGCGCGACAGCAUGGGGAGCAAACAAG
rnacentral:rRNA from 1 species